GUGUGCGUGCGUAUCGAUGCGGUCUGUGUCCCGCACCGCGAUUUACUUUUCCCAUCGGGAACGAUAAUAACAACAACGGCGUUUGUGGCCGUAGUGCAGCAUUUUUCCACCGAUUUUCUUAUCGUCAGUUUUCAUUUUUACCCUAGCUCGGAAAAACGGCCAUGCCGCCGGCCCGACACGUGAACCCGACCGUCCGAAGUGUACGACGAAUCGCGACCAGCGCCUCACAGUGAUCUCUUACCUGUAUAUUUAUUUCGGAAUUUAUAGGAAUACUGUUUUUUCCGGCAAUAAUAUUAUAGUUUGAUAAUUAAAAUAUAAUGUGCGUCCUACGUGAAUCGCUUUAUAUCGUAUAAUCAAAUAUUAUGCACUAUAUUUGAUUAAGUGCGUCACGUGUAGUUAGAUUCGUAUACACAAGCGCAUACUCACGUCUCAAAUAGUAUUAAAGCAUUAUAAUUAUUUUCUUUUUACACCGUGUUUGUUAUCUGUGGGUACUCCAGUCGCGUCGUUUCCCCUUAUCAGUCGUGAUACACGAUAAAAUAUAGUGCCGCCGUCGCCGGUGCGACCACCAGCGUAAUGGCUGAACUGAACGUGGACUUGACCAGGUUGCCGGAAGAUGUUCGUGAGAAGCUCGCAGAACUAGAGCUCGAAUUGUCUGAAGGCAAGUACCUUAUUGCCUCUGCUUUUACCCCUGCAUGACUAAAUCACUGCAGUGUCAGUUC